rnacentral:tRNA from 1 species
AGACAGGUAAGCUAAAUUAAAGCUAACGGGUUCAUGCCCCGACGAUGGAUCAUAUCCCCUUUCUG